CUUUUCAAAAUGUUCCUGCACUGAUUGCUCGGUGAGUGAGCAUUUUCAGUGUUUCUGAUAAUGGUGACGGAGACGAACCUCGCUUAGCUUCUCGAGAAGCUCAAAGUGGAGGAUCCGUACCUUCCACCGCGAAAUUGUGAAUCCUUACUUUCCGAUAGUGGUCGAUUUCCUCCUCCACCUAAAACUCGUGCUUCACCUGCUUCUUCCGUCUAUGAAUCAAGCUUGGUUAGGUUGGCGUUGAAUGCUCUGCGACUGCAAGGUGUUGAGGAUGCUAAAUUUGGAGGGAUAACAGAGGAUUCUAGAAACCCUUGGAUUUCUGCUAUUCUCUUAUCUGCCUCCGUAAGGACAGGGGAUAGCGAAGCAAGAACUCCGGUGGUUACAUAUAUUGAUGAAACUAAGGCAUCAGAUCAACCAUUUUGUAUCAACACUAGAGCAAUAUGUACAUUCGAAAUUGUCUCACGUAUCAUGGUCCAAGUUCCUUCAUUCCCUGAAGCAUAAGGUCAAGGAUAUGAUGGAUCUUGAGUCUGUGCAUAUGACUUAUCUAAGUGAAGCUCUGCGCAUAUGUUUUCUAUCUGAUGAAACCCGAGUCAUAUCAAACACCAUAGACAACAUCUUACAAUGGGCACUGCCGCACUGGACAUCCGGUCUUGUCUUGCCAGAAGCAUUCAAGGUAUAGCUCAAGCUCCGAACGAUUCAUGGACGAAAAGGCUAGGCAUAAACACAUCUCAGGUGAUAAUGGUGAAGCAGAAGUUUGAGAAAGAGUUGAAGGAUCUGCAUUCGUAUCACCUAAAAAUAUCAAAACAUGGGAGGUCUGGUCUCUCUCGCUUCUGGGACUGCCUCAAUUUCAUCCUCUUAAUGGUUCUAACA